AAAAUACAUUAUAGUACUAACACCCAGGAGAGUAAUUUGUGGUAAUAUAGAGAAGAUGCAGGUCCACGAGGACAUCCUGGAGGGCUGGAGGAGAUGAGGGUACGUUUACUUUUGCACAGUCACUUCCUCCAUUCCUCUGUUUUGGAUUCUUCCAUAUUAGGCCAUGAAAUUAAGUGUGUUUUUCUCCAGGGGAAAAUGAAGGGAAUUCCUGAGCGAGUUGCACUGGCAGAGACUCUGAAACUCGCCGAUCACACGUUACUGCUCUUCAGAAACACACUGAGGAAUGUGUGGUAUUUACUAAACCCCAACCAGCUUCCAGUUAUCAUCCAGCUUUGCUCAUAAGUUUGUCCAUGUCUCCACUGAGCCCACAGUUCUUCAUCUGCAUGCUGAAGGAAUCAGAGUGUGACUUAACAAGACUGAGAUGAAGCCUGAGGGUGCAGAUGGUGAAGGUUUCAUGUUGAUCAGACCAGGAUGAUGCUGUAAGAAGGUGUUCUUCAUGAUCUUCUUCUAAAAAGUCCAAGGAGUCCAUCUCACCACUGAGAAGAAGAGACAAUGAAAAAUUUUAGCUUAGUACAGAAAAAAUUUAUAUGAUUCAUAAACAAACCUGGUGACCAAGACCAAGGUUCCUCCUUCCUGUCCUUCUAGCACCUUAAGGGGUUCCUGUAAGAACUUAGGAUGUGGAGGAUUGAGCAACUUCACAGAUGUAUGUUUUAGGAGAAAACUGUUCAGCAGUGACCUUUUCACCAGGAGGCUGAAGCUCUGGAUGCAAAGACCACACAAGUUUAUUCUGAGAGCCCAGGAUCUCCAUCACUGACAGAUGGAGUCUACAUUUAAUAAGAGGUUGACUAAUACUGCUUAAAGCCAGUUGCACAUGAUCUCUCCGUAGAAUUUAGGAGUUAGUAGAACUUCAUCUCAUGGCCAGUGACAACUCCAGAAACACCAACUGCUUGUUGGUGACACCAGAAAUACGACACUGUGGAUGGUUUUUAUUUCCAAAAAUAAAGAGAAACCAGGAAGAUUGCUGACAUUUUGUUGUGUGCAUCAGUUAAUUACAGGAGUUUACACACUGAGAGAGAAGACAGGAGAAGACAAGAGAAGACAAGAGAAGACCGGGAGAAAGGAGCAGAUCAGUGCUGAGGGACAAACGGGGCAGGAGCUUCGUCCUGGAUCCCGCUGUCCUCAAACCGCUUCCCUUAUAAGGACAAAAGAAUGCUCAUACGUCAUCUGGGAAGCGCGAGGGUACAGAGGGGGUGUGGCCAAGUUGGUUCACACCAAUCAAACGACCGGAUAACAGUGUAGUCCGCCUCUGAUUGGCUGUGAAGCUGUGGUAGCGGUGAGCUAGGGCUCGUGUUUCAAAUGACUCCGUGCUCCCUACAGCAGAGACCAGUGAUUCACUUCAUUAAUGUGAUUCACUUCAUUAAUGUGAUUCACUUCAUUAAUGUGAUUCACUUCAUUGAUGUGAUUCACUUCAGUAAUGUGAUUCACUUCAGAAAAAAUCACUGCCUCAAAAUCUAAAACUCAUUCAUAUUUACAUUUAUAAAUAAAAAAACUAAGCUAAUGAAUAAAUAAUAAAAUAAUAAAUAUUUA